rnacentral:rRNA from 1 species
CAGUCGCCACGGGAAUACGUAGGGUGCAAGCGUUAAUCGGAAUUACUGGGCGUAAAGCGUGCGCAGGCGGUUAUAUAAGACAGAUGUGAAAUCCCCGGGCUCAACCUGGGAACUGCAUUUGUGACUGUAUAGCUAGAGUACGGCAGAGGGGGAUGGAAUUCCGCGUGUAGCAGUGAAAUGCGUAGAUAUGCGGAGGAACACCGAUGGCGAAGGCAAUCCCCUGGGCCUGUACUGACGCUCAUGCACGAAAGCGUGGGGAGCAAACAGGAUUAGAUACCCCGGUAGUCCCUGUCUCUUAUAC